rnacentral:rRNA from 1 species
CAGUCGCCACGGUAACACGUAUGUCACAAGCGUUAUCCGGAUUUAUUGGGCGUAAAGCGCGUCUAGGUGGUUAUAUAAGUCUGAUGUGAAAAUGCAGGGCUUAACUCUGUAUUGCGUUGGAAACUGUGUAACUAGAGUACUGGAGAGGUAAGCGGAACUACAAAUGUAGAGGUGAAAUUCGUAGAUAUUUGUAGGAAUGCCGAUGGGGAAGCCAGCUUACUGGACAGAUACUGACGCUGAAGCGCGAAAGCGUGGGUAGCAAACAGGAUUAGAGACCCCUGUAGUCCCUGUCUCUUAUACA